rnacentral:rRNA from 1 species
UACGGGGGGAGCAAACGUUGUUCGGAAUCACUGGGCGUAAAGAGCGUGUAGGCGGCCUGGUAGGUCAGCUGUGAAAACUCGAGGCUCAACCUCGAGACGCCGGUUGAAACCAUCAGGCUAGAGUCCGGAAGAGGAGAGUGGAAUUCCCGGUGUAGCGGUGAAAUGCGCAGAUAUCGGGAAGAACACCCGUGGCUAAGGCGGCUCUCUAGUACGGUACUGACGCUGAGACGCGAAAGCGUGGGGAGCGAACAGG